UGUGGCUUAAUUUGACUCAACGCGGAAAAGCUUAUCUGGUCCGGACGCAGUGAGGAUUGACAGACAGUUUCAGGAGUGGUUCUUGGUAAACAAUUGAGAGAGUUGAAGUUCUUUCAUGAUCUUGUGAGAGGUGGUGCAUGGCCGUUCUUAGUUCGUGUAGUGAUAUGUCUGCCUAAUCGCGUCACGAUAACCUAUUGGUCGACAACCCAAUUAUCACAACUGCAGCAUAACUCCCCUUGGGUGGGCGAGGCUCUGUGUAGGAUAGACCUCUGAACAGUACGCAACGAACGCGAUCGUAAUCCCUUGUUGAGUGGCCAUCCUGUAAGCUGCUGGAUUAGGAACCCAGUGGUAUUAUCUCAGCCACAGAUUUUCUGGUUGUAAUGGGCCAGUUUUGAAACUCGGGGAACAUCUGUGACUUUCUUUCUUAACGCAGAGGAAGGUUAUGGCAAUAACAGG
rnacentral:rRNA from 1 species